UUGAGGGCAGGAAAGUACACUGUAACUACUUGGAAUUUGUUAAAAUAAGUAUUUAUUUAAUUUUAAUUCUCAAGAAUGAUGUAAUAUUCAUUGAAAAGUUUUUUGGGUUUUUUUUGUGUAAUAAAACUUCUGCUGGGACUCGAACACCAUCCUUCGCAAUGGAAGCCAGCCGCUCAAACCAUCGUUAUUGUCAUGGUUCAGCCCUGCUCCUUCACCCCACCCUUUCUUCCUCCACUCUAAUUUCAUUCACCUGUGUUAAUUAAGUUCACAUUGUGCACCAGUUGGUGUUCACACUAUUUAAGGUCCUCACUUUCACCUGCCAGUUCGUUGAAUCAGUCACGUUCCAGCUAGUUAUAAUCUUUGUAUUUUGAGUCUUUUCAUGGUUUUGACCCUAUUCUGGCCUGGUAACGAGUUUAAGCCUGUCCCCUUUCUGGAGUUUUUUCUGCCCUGGUUUUUCCUCCUCUGUUUCCAUCCUGAGAGGUGUGACGUUUUCAGAUCCCUCGUCUCAUCACGGAGUAAAGCUGCCUCCAACGUUGGUCUUCACCCUCCGGUGGAUUUCCAUCCUCUACACAGAAGCAGUGGGGGAAUCUUCCAUCAUUCCUCUGACACCAUCCGUCCUGCACUCGGAUGCUUUAAAGGCUCACCUGUGCAUCUGGCGGCACAUCGAUUAAUUCUACCUCCCUAAUAAACACUUUAAUUGUGA